CAAUGACUGAGUAAAUGCCUGCAGGCUUUGCCUCCUGACUAAGCGAGGGGAGUUAAUGAUAUGGACUUUCUAGCCUUUGCCCAGCAAAGAGCUGCAGAGCACAGCGCAGACAUUGAGGUGAAUGAGCUCUGGUGGAUGAAAGCUCUGCUGGAAGCAAGCUGCCUUGAACAGUGAUUACUACAAUGAUCCAUCUCAGCACAUCCUUCUAAUUUGUGCUAUCAGGAUUUUCUCCAUUAUCGUGGGCAUCCGAGCUCUACAUUCCAGCUGUGUAACGGCGACUGAAAAACACGUGCGUGUAACAAAGACGGAGCCAGGCAGGCUGGCCGCCAUUUCAGCACCCACCUGGUGGGCAGCGCCGGGGCGGCUGCACAAGAUGGCGGCUGACCACGAGGCGGUUCGGACGUGUUGUGCCGCGUGUCGGCAUGGCUGCAGAAGCUUCCAGAGCCUCGUGUAAGGUAAGGCAGCGGCGGGAUGGGUUUGGGAAGUUGGUGUGUUGGCUUCCAUCCAUGGUGCGGAGCUGGAUGGGGCCUGGUUUCUGUUGGUGGUGGU
ensembl:lncRNA